AGAGUUUGAUCAUGGCUCAGAACGAACGCUGGCGGCGUGCCUAAAACAUGCAAGUCGAGCGAGAAAGGGAGCAAUCCCGAGUAAAGCGGCGCACGGGUGCAUAACACGUGGGUAAUCUGCCUUGGAGAGUGGGAUAACUAGCCGAAAGGUUAGCUAAUACCGCAUAAGCCCACGGGAGCUUCGGCUCCUGAGGGAAAAGGCGGCCUCUGUAUACAAGCUGUCACUCCAAGAUGAGCCCGCGGCCCAUCAGCUCGUUGGCGGUGUAAGAGACCACCAAGGCUAUGACGGGUAGCUGGUCUGAGAGGACGAUCAGCCACACUGGAACUGAGACACGGUCCAGACUCCUACGGGAGGCAGCAGUUGGGAAUAUUGCGCAAUGGGCGAGAGCCUGACGCAGCAACGCCGCGUGAGCGAUGAAGGUCUUCGGAUCGUAAAGCUCUUUCGGCCGGGACGAAAACCCACUACUUCAUAAGUGGUGGCUUGACGGUACCGGAGGAAGAAGCACCGGCUAACUCUGUGCCAGCAGCCGCGGUAAUAC
rnacentral:rRNA from 1 species